GACGAACGCUGGCGGUGUGCUUCACACAUGCAAGUCGAACGAGGUAGCAAUACCUAGUGGCGGACGGGUGAGUAACGCGUGGGAAUCUGCCCAUAGGUGGGGGAUAACUAGCCGAAAGGUUAGCUAAUACCGCAUAUGCCGAGAGGUAAAAGGAGUAAUCCGCCUUUGGAUGAGCCCGCGUCCGAUUAGCUAGUUGGUAGGGUAAAAGCCUACCAAGGCUACGAUCGGUAGCUGGUCUGAGAGGAUGAUCAGCCACAAUGGGACUGAGACACGGCCCAUACUCCUACGGGAGGCAGCAGUGGGGAAUAUUGGACAAUGGGCGAAAGCCUGAUCCAGCAAUGCCGCGUGAGUGAUGAAGGCCUUAGGGUUGUAAGACU
rnacentral:rRNA from 1 species